GGACUACUGGGGUAUCUAAUCCUGUUCGCUCCCCACGCUUUAGUCCAUGAAUGUCAGGAAUGUACCAGUAAGCUGCCUUCGCCUUUGGUGUUCUUGCAGAUAUCAACGCUUAUUACGACUACACCUGCAAUUCCGCUUACCUCUUCCAUCCUCUAGUUAAGUAGUUUCAAAAGCAAUCUCAAUGUUAAGCACUGAGUUUUGACUCUUGACCCACAAAACAAUCUGCGGACGCUUUACGCCCAAUAAAUCCGGAUAACACUUGAGGUCUCUGUAUUACCGCGGCGGCUGGCAC
rnacentral:rRNA from 1 species